UGCUGGGAUUACAGGCGUGAGCCACCACGCCUGGCCGGGAUUUUUUUUAUUUUUUUUAUUUUUUUUAUUUUUUUUAUGAUAUGGGUAAGACAGUCUGAAAACAAUGUGAGUACUUUCAUCAACUAAUGCAGUGUUGUUAAUCAAACACAAGACCCAUAAAGUGAAUUUGGGGUCAUCUUGUCCUUUACUGGUUUCCUGAUUGGGAGGCUCACCCUUGGCUUAUGAUCACAUCCAUUUGGCAGAAAGUCAGCUUAUUUGACAGGGUUGGAAACAAUGCCAUGUGAGCAGAAGAGAAAUUGCUUUCAUCCCUUUUUCUACCUGAUGGUCUUAUAUUAUGAUAUGGUUUGGCUGUGCGCCCACCCAAAUCUCAUCUUGAAUUGUAGUUCCCAUAAUCCCCGUAUGUCAUGGGUGAGACCUCAUGGGAGGUAAAUAAAUUAUGGAAGUGGUUCCCCCAUGCUGUUCUCAUGAUAGUGAGUGAGUUCUCAUGAGAUCUGAAUGGUUUUAUAAGUGGUUUUUCCCCGCUUUGCUCUGCACUUCUCUCUCCUGCCACCAUGUGAAGAAGGAUGUGUUUGCUUCCCCUUCUGCCCUGAUUGUAAGUUUCUGGAGGCCUCCCAAGCCAUGCGGAACUGUGAGUCAAUGAAACCUCUUUCCUUUAUAAAUUACCCAGUCUCAGGCCAGGCACAGUGGCUCACGCCUGUAAUCCCAGCACUUGGGGAGGCUGAGGUGGGCGGAUUGCCUGAGGUCAGGAGUUCGAGACCAGUCUGGCUAACAUGGUGAAAUCCCGUCUCUACUAAAAAUACAGAAUUAGCCAGGCAUGAUGGCGUGUGCCUGUAAUGCCAGAUACUUGGGAGGCUGAGGCAGGGGAAUUGCUUGAACCAGGGAGGUGGAGGUUGCAGUGGGCCAAGGUCACGCCACUGUACUCCAGUCUGGGCGACAGAGCAAGACUCCAUCUCAAAAAUAAAUAAAUAA
rnacentral:lncRNA from 10 species